AUGGCGGCGCGCGCUCGGCCGCUUGACCCCGGUGUCCCCUAAAGCGGGAGGUCUUCAGCAAGGUGAGGUUCCUCUGACCAAGAAGCCGGCUGCCUAGAUGCGCUAAGCACAGCUCCCUCGCAUAUUCUGGUGUCAUGCUCCAUCAUAAGUGACUAGACAUAGUUCCAGUGCUACCCAGCAGGAUCUCAUUGCUCAUGCAUUCCAAAGGCAAGAGUCUGCAUCUCAAAAAAUCAAAUACCUGGGAAUACACCUGACCAAGGAGCCCCCUUUCCACCAGUGUGAUUGGGGAGCCGAAAUGUCUGCACAGCACCGUCUCUAGCUCUUGAGAGUGUUCCGGGAAGAGUAACUGCCAUCCGUAUUUGCAGGAUGGAAAAAGAUGUAUCAGAGAUGCAAAGGCAGGUGAUCCUGGUGGCAGGAACUCUCCCCCAGGCCCCAGGUGGCUUCGGUCCCUGACGGGGUGUGAGCCCUGUGGUUCUUCAUGAUCUGAAACACACCAUUCAUUCCAUGGAAAUAUCUGCCCUCUGACCUCUUUCAGGGCAACAGGAUUUCCCAGUUACAGACCUUGGAUUUGGAUAGAUUCAGCUCAGAAAAAGCUGGUGUUCAUUUAGUGGGUUCUCUUAAUCGUCAACGUUGGAUGACCAGUAAAUCUGCUCAAUAACAGGAAAGGGUCCCCACCUGGCAGACCCUCCUCGCGCGUGGGCCGGCAACGUGAUUUAAAGCAGCCAAUCGCAUCCUCCCGUGAGAAAGAGGUGGAGCUUCGUGUCUUGUUGCCACAGAGCCGGCUUCUGCCAGCUCCGCAGGUUCACGCUGUUCCUAGCUGGGCUUCACGUGCUGGGAGCUGUCUUCCCCCCAAAUGUUUCUGGCUCCACGAGGAUGAGACUGAGAACCAAAGAAGAGGCGGUUUCUGCCUUCGGAACCCACAGCUGAGUGGAGGAUUCAGAUGGUGGAGGUGAAGGUGCUGGUGGAUGAUAUAUCAGAAGCGACACCCCGGAACAGAGACCGCCUGUGACUGGAGCCCCAUUCCUGGCUGAACUGUACUGGGAAGAGCAGACCUGAGCAAGAUCUCUGAGACUUGGCCUCUGGCUUGAAGGUUGCACCACGGUGAGACUGAGAAGGCGCUUCCUGGAGGCCCCCAUUGACUCUGAAAGUUUCCAGUCUGGAAGAAAGAGAGCAGGUCGCUGCAAGCACUGAGGAUGAAAAGCCUCUGGAAACAAGGAACCGCCAGGCUUGGUCAGUGCCCCACCUGGAGAACAAGACCAGGUAGGUGACAGAAAUGAAGGGCAUGUCUGCUGAAUGAAUGUAUAGACAAAAUCAGUCGGUGACCUUAUGGGAAAAGGAAUCUCCCAGGUUUUCCUCUGCAGCAGUUUACGGACUCGUGCUUUGGAACAGCGUUCUUCUCGCUCACCUGCAGAGAUGCAGUGUGCCGGCCGCACCUCGGCGUGGGGCCUGCUGUAACCUCCCAGACUCUGCUUGGAAAUUGGACUCUAGCCUUCAGGGGCCUGUUGUGUUGGAGACACAGAGAUGUGGGUUUACCGUAUAGCACGACACAGAUCUAGCCUUUUUGCCAUAUAUCCUGGGGGUCAGUGAUCUAAAAGUGUAGGCUAUUGAUGAGAAAUGCCCCCCAAACCCUGCAAGGGAUGGCUGUCAGCCUGGUCCAAGAACUCUGCAGAGUUGAAAACUCCAGCAGAUUUCCUACAGGAUGACAGGCUGCCUCCUUGGGUUUACCAGACCGUACAUUCCAUUCAUCCCGACAGGGACAGGUAAGGUCUUUGCAUCUCCUGGGAUCAUAGCACACUGUUGAUUUUUCUUUUUUGAGGACCUCACAUGCGGCACAUGGAAGUUCCCAGGCUAGGGGUCGAAUCGGAGCUGUAGCCACCAGCCUACGCCACAGCCACGCCACGCCAGAUCCGAGCCGCGUCUGCAACCGACACCACAGCUCACGGCAACACCGGAUCCUUACCCAUGGAGCGAGGCCAGGCAUUGAACCCGAGUCCUCUUGGAUGCUAGUCGGGUUCAUUAAUUGCUGAGCCAUGACAGGAACGCUGAUUUUUCUUUUAACAUGAAAAGAACAUGUGGGGUUCCCCCACCCCACCCCAGGAAAUCCAUGAGGCUAGUCCACCGGGCAGGUUUAAAGAUCCUUUAUUACGGAAUCAGUAUGUACAAACUCUAACAUGAAAAUAAUGAGUCACGGAAUAUCAGGCUAUUUACAAUAUGUUUUUGUUUUUUACAAAUUUUUUUACAAGAUUAUGUCUCUCUAAAUAACAUGACAGACACACAUUUUUUAUUACAUACAUAAAUAAAUAUUGGCUUGAAAUGACUGUUCUAAGGGACAGGAUUUCUAGGGGCCAUCUGCUGAGAAGGCUGCCGUCUUGUUCCUGUACCCUACCCUAUAACUCAGGAAAAAUAACAAUAGCUUUACAUACAGCCUCCGUGAAUCCCUCUGUGACUGUGUAACUUGCUAAAAUAUUCAGUAGAGCUAAGAAGCUGAGUCUGGCCAUGCAAAACCACAGGUAAGCGUCACCAUCUUUAGGUAUCGAUUGAUAUUUUACAUGAAUUUUAAAGUACAUGCAACAGCUAUUUAGCCUCUGUGUUCUGGUGAAGGUGUGAAAAGUCUGUAUAACAAGACUUAGAGACAUGUGCAAUCAUGGGAAUUAGUACGUUUGGGGGCCCCCGCAGCACACGGCGCAGCAAACGACAUUAAGCAGAUAAGCCGUGAUCACAAAUGACGGAUUGUCGCACAGAAUGACUCUUUGUACUCACAUUAACACCGACGCAAGUCUAAAUUCAGCCUUUUUAAUCAGAUUUUCCAGUGGAGGUGAAAGACAGUUGCCUUACCCAGCUGGCCCCCUACCCCUGCAAUUGACCGCGCUCCUCGCGCAGGGCAACGGCUCAUCCAUUCGCGGUAGACUCUUCUGCGAUGCAGUGGCUCUCAUCUGGGCUGCCCACCAGAGAGGGUGGUGGGCCGUGGCUGGGGAAGGCGUGGUUCUCACAGCCUGGGGAGGGGCUCCUGGCCUGCCCCACCCUCCUCAGUGCACAGGACGCCCCCGGAGAGAAGCCGCACCCCCAAGUCUCAGCAGUGCGGAGGCGGAGGGAUCCGGCUCAGUGGGCUGCUUCCAGGUUCUUGCAGUUUCUAUCACGCAGGUGCACUUUUAAACUUGAGGUUGUGUUCCCUACGCAUUUCAGAAAACUACGUCAUAAACCGCAUGUCUUAACUAUGUCGUAUUACAGCUGAAUGACGUGAGGGACAUACGCGCGUUCCUGCACAGCUGCUCUGCGGAGUCUCCUGAGAUCACGAGGGCAGCUCCGAUAAACCGUCUUAGAGGGAGAAUGCUCGUUAAGAAUGUAUAGAGCCGAAGUUCCCGUCCUGGCGCAGUGGUUAACGAAUCCGACUAGGAAUCAUGAGGUUACGGGUUCGAUCCCUGCCCUUGCUCAAGGGGUUGAGGAUCCGGCUUGCCGUGACUGUGGUGUAGGUCGCAGACGCGGCUCAGAUCCCACGUUGCUGUGGCUCUGGUGAAGGCCAUUGGCUACAGCUCCGAUUGGACCCCUAGCCUGGGAA
rnacentral:lncRNA from 9 species